GACAGCAGCAGCCACGGUAAUACAGAGGGUGCGAGCGUUAAUCGGAUUUACUGGGCGUAAAGCGUGCGUAGGCGGCUUCUUAAGUCGGAUGUGAAAUCCCUGAGCUUAACUUAGGAAUUGCAUUCGAUACUGGGAAGCUAGAGUAUGGGAGAGGAUGGUAGAAUUCCAGGUGUAGCGGUGAAAUGCGUAGAGAUCUGGAGGAAUACCGAUGGCGAAGGCAGCCAUCUGGCCUAAUACUGACGCUGAGGUACGAAAGCAUGGGGAGCAAACAGGAUUAGAUACCCCUGUAGUCCCUGUCUCUUAUAU
rnacentral:rRNA from 1 species